CUACAAUGGGCGCAAGCCUGAUGCUAGCCAUGCCGCGUGUAUGAAGAAGGCCUUCGGGUUGUAAAGUACUUUCAGCAGUGAGGAAGUGGAUAUGUUAAUAGCAUAUUCAUUUGACGUUUAGCUGCAGAAGAAGCACCGGCUAACUCCGUGCCAGCAGCCGCGGUAAUACGGAGGGUGCGAGCGUUAAUCGGAAUUACUGGGCGUAAAAGCGCAUGCAGGUGGUUUGUUAAGUCAGAUGUGAAAGCCCGGGGCUCAACCUCGGAAUUUGCAUUUGAAACUGGCAAACUAGAGUACUGUAGAGGGGGUAGAAUUUCAGGUGUAGCGGUGAAAUGCGUAGAGAUCUGAAGGAAUACCGGUGGCGAAGGCGGCCCCCUGGACAGAUACUGACACUCAGAUGCGAAAGCGUGGGGAGCAAACAGGAUUAGAUACCCUGGUAG
rnacentral:rRNA from 1 species